UGAUAACAGGUUUUUUUGUUUUUCAGAGAAACGUUCGGACCUCUUUUCCCCUCAAAAAACACCUGCCCAAAGCAGUGAGGAUGGGUACUCGGAUGUAGAUGAUGUAGAUGAUCAGAGUCAGAGAGCAAGCCAGACCAACAGGCCCUCACUGAAGAGAAAGAAAAGUGGAAAACAGACAACCAUAAGUAUCAGAGUCAGAGAGCAAGCCAGGCCAACAGGCCCUCACCGAAGAGAAAGAAAAGUGGAAAACAGACAACCAUAAGUAGAAACGUUCGGACCUCUUUUCCCCUCAAAAAACACCUGCCCAAAGCAGUGAGGAUGGGUACUCGGAUGUAGAUGAUGUAGAUGAUCAGAGUCAGAGAGCAAGCCAGACCAACAGGCCCUCACUGAAGAGAAAGAAAAGUGGAAAACAGACAACCAUACUGAAGGAAACAUCCAGGAUAAUCGUGAAAAGACCGUGGCGAGAAGAAGAGAGAAGGGCGGUAAAUAAACGAUUGGGAAAGUUCAUGGCAGAGCGCAGGGUUCCGGGAAAAAUUGACUGCAUGAAGUGCCUCGAAAAGGAAGAGGCACUGAAGGACAGAACGUGGAAAGAUGUGAAAUAUUUUGUUCAUAAUACAAUUGUAACCCUCAAAAGAAAGUCUGCUGCAAGAAAAAUCAUGUUUUA